rnacentral:tRNA from 1 species
GCAAGUAUAAUUUAAUGGUAGAAUUUGUAACUUCCAAUUACACCGUUUCGGUUCGAUUCCGAAUACUUGUA